AUUAAAAUUCGCAUGACGAGGGCAAAAGAUGAAUUCUGUUUGAUGCGGAGCGACACUGUAGCCUAUAAACUAAACAUCAUGUCAGCUUCUCUGGUUGUGAAAAAACUGUCUGUAUCACCAGGUGUGAGAUUGGGGCACGCACAAGCAUUGCUCUGGACGCCAGCCAAAUACCCCAUCGACAGAGUAUGUGUGAAAAACGUCUCAAUUCCUGUAGGCUCACGUGUUUGUAAUCAAGAAAAGUCUUUUCAGCGUAUAAAGAGCACAAGUGUGUAUGGGGACACAGGAUGAAUGGAACUACUUUUGUUAUUGCACUUUUGAUGGAAAGUGACUUUCUAGAGAUAAAAUGUCACUUUUUUCACCUUAUCACACUUUCUCAGCUACUUUUACAUUUUAAUGUAAACAAUCAUAUUUCGUAAUAUUUCAGGUCAGAAACAUUUCAUAGUACUAUAUUAUGUGUAACUAUGUGAAAAAUAUCAUAUUGGAGUAGGUCGGGCAAUUGAUUAUAUGAGUUUGUUAGAAAAAUCACUUUCCUUUGCUCCUAGCGCCUUCUCAAUCGCUGUAUAGCGUUUUGAGCGGACAAAGAGCACAAGUGUGCAUGGGGACACUGGAUGAAUGGGAACUAGUUUUGUUAUUGCACAUUUGAUGAAAAGUGACUUUCUAGACAUAAAAUGUCACUUUUUUCACCUUAUCACACUGUAACAUCAACUUUUACAUUUUAAUGUAAACAAUCAUAUUUCGUAAUAUUUUAGGUCAGAAACAUUCCAUAGUACUAUAUUAUGUCUAAAUAUGUGAAAAGAAUCAAAUUGGAGUAGGUCGGGCAACUGAUUAUAUGAGUUUGUUAGAAAAACCACUUUCCUUUGCUCCUAGCGCCUUCUCGUUCGCUCUAUAGCGUUUUGAGCGGAUAAAGAGCACAAGUGUGCAUGGGGACACUGGAUGAAUGGGAAUUAGUUUUGUUAUUGCACUUUUGAUGAAAAAUGACUUUCUAGACAUAAAAUGUCACUUUUUUCACCUUAUCAUGCUUUUUCAUCAACUUUUGCAUUUUAAUGUAAACAAUCAUAUUUCGUAAUAUUUUGGGUCAGAAACAUGUCAUAGUACUAUAUUAUGUCUAAAUAUGUGAAAAGAAUCAAAUUGGAGUAGGUCGGGCAACUGAUUAUAUGAGUUUGUUAGAAAAACCACUUUCCUUUGCUCCUAGCGCCUUCUCGUUGGCUCUAUAGCGUUUUGAGCGGAUAAAGAGCACAAGUGUGCAUGGGGACACUGGAUGAAUGGGAAUUAGUUUUGUUAUUGCACUUUUGAUGAAAAAUGACUUUCUAGACAUAAAAUGUCACUUUUUUCACCUUAUCAUGCUUUUUCAUCAACUUUUGCAUUUUAAUGUAAACAAUCAUAUUUCGUAAUAUUUUGGGUCAGAAACAUGUCAUAGUACUAUAUUAUGUCUAAAUAUGUGAAAAGAAUCAAAUUGGAGUAAGUCGGACAACUGAUUAUAUGAGUUUGUUAGAAAAACCACUUUCCUUUGCUCCUAGCGCCUUCUCGUUCGCUCUAUAGCGUUUUGAGCGGAUAAAGAGCACAAGUGU
ensembl:lncRNA